GUCGAAGGAAAAAAAAGAGCGAAGGGUCUCAGCCUCAGGCCCAAAGCCCCCGACCCUCAUCCCUCGAUUCCUCUCCCUCUCCCUCGUCUGCAGCCGCCGCCGCCGCCACCAGCGUCCUCCCCUGCAGCUGGCGCCCCCCAACCCUUCUCUCCUUCCCUCACCUGCGCCCUCGUCCACCUGGGCCUUGUGGUCGGCCAUGGAGGUCUGAUCUGACCCAUGGAUGGAUGGGGGCGAAACCCUAGCCCCACACCCACCCAUGGAUGGAUGGGGAUGGGGCGACGGCGGCGGCGGCCUUCUCUUGGUGCUUACUGAUGUGGUGGUCCUCGAUGCCGGCGACGGGUUGCAGCACGUAGACGCCAAAGGUUGCGGGUGUGACGGAGGAGCACCAUGGCGGGCGUGCAGGCCAUCUUUCCCUACCAAGUUAUCACUGCUACCCCACUGUAGUCCCUGGCAAGUACAUGUUGCUACCAAGGAAAAUAUGCUUUCUCAUCAAUUUUGCAGCAUGCAUUAGAAAGUUCAAAGUUUAUAUCCUUGAAUAAAUUUCUUCAUGAAGGUGCAUCAGGAUGACCAUCCACCAUUGUUUCUUCGAAAGCACGCGGCAGAGGCACCCACACCUGCGGUUCAGCAAGAUCUACAUCUCCAACGACUACACCAAGGACUGGGGCAUAUACGCCAUAUGUGCCUGUGUUGAAGCUCAGUUAACUCAUAUAGGUGUACUGUUUCAUAUGCUGGCAACCCACACGCUUUGAAACAAUCAAUUUCUAAUGAAUCAAUACCUGCAUUUGCAAAUUGUAUCCCAGUGUAACAUAUAGGAAGGAGGACAGAAGACGACUAUUUUCAAUUACAUGCCGGAGAAGGCUGCCGACAGAGAAGAGACGACAGCAGGAGCAGAGCCUCUCUCCUGCAAGGCCUUAGGCAUCUUCUUACAAUGCCCAUACAUAUUGCAUAUUCAUAUUACUAUUUUCCGACAAACUUGCCUUUUCAUGGCUGGCUCAAGGUCAUUUCGGAAGAAAAAUCCUACUAAAAUGUUUGUAUAGUUGGCAGUCCGGUGAUUCCAGCUUAUUUGUCUAAUUUGAUGUAGGAAAUGAAUUAUUUUGAGUUUGAGUUCUCAGUAAUGUUUGUUGCCUCCUGUUGUGAUUCUAGGUUGAAGUUGCCAAGAUGCUACUAAAUAAGGGCAGGGGCACUUGUUUGAAUACUGGUCAGAACCCGGUGUUGAUGACGACAAAAAGAAAAGCUUCUUUGACAAGGUUUGCCGACUUAAUUCAAGCUAUCCUGUUGGACUGACAUCAUACCAAAAGGCUUUUGGCAGAUUCCAAGUCUAGACAAAAUCCAUACGAUGGUUUCACGCCUUCGGUUCUCUCGGGGGAAGUAUUGUCCUUCGGUGAUGACAAUUUUGUUUAAGCACACAAUGUUGCAUUUAUUCUUGUAGCUAGUGGGCUUGGCGAAAGACUUGGUUACAAAGGAAUUAAGGUUAUCAUUGGAAAGUCUAAAAGUUGCACAGGAAGAUCUCGGCAAAUACUUUAAGCCCCAAAGUAACAAAGGUGAGGACAUAAACUGGUGGUAGUGGUACUGGCCUACCUUUCCUUCAGGGAAUGACCAGCGGACCUGAAAGAUGGUAUCGACAGUUUGAUAAUUGUAGCCCCAAUGGUGCUCUGAGCUCUUUGAACUCAGUCAAUGUGGGACCCUUUUGACAGGAAGUAUGGGAAAUAUUUCGUUGUUGCUGCAGUUAACCUAUGCUAAAAUGCUGGUGUUAAUAACCAUUGCUAGCCUGCUAGGACCAAAUGCACGUGUCAAUUCAUGCCAAUAGCUGUAAAUCAAAAGAAAGGAAAAAAUAGACUCACCAGCUGCAAAUACUCCAGGAAUAAAGGCGCAAGCAUGGCAUUGGGCAUGAUUUAUGUAGUACAACGAUUGGGUGAGAGGGUUUAAUUUUCAUAUUUCUUUCAGACAAACAGAUGGAGAUUACAUGGUGAUGUGUGGGGCUUCCUUGGCCAACAACAGCUUGAGGUGGCAUGGGAAUGGAUCCUGUCAUCAUCCUUGGUGGACUCCCAAUAAAACCAGGAAUGACAAGGGAUGAUCUGUUCAACAAAAAUGCUAGGAUUGUUUGCUCAAUCUGUGAAGGCGUUGCCAAGAGUGUCCUAAUGCAAUUGUGAGUUUGAUCAGCAACCCUGUGAACUCAACCAUCCCCAUUGCUGCGCAGGUUUUCAAGAGAGCUGGAACUUAUUAUCCCAAGCGUCUCCUUGGAGUGACAACAUUUGAUGUGGCGAGGCCUAACACUUUUAUAUUACUUUUGGGACUAACCUAUUAACCGGAGGCCCAACCCAGAUUUGCUGUUUUAUGCCUAUUUCGGUGUUUUGAAGAAAAGGAAUAUCAGACGGAGUCGAAA